CUGUGUCUCAGCCAACAAACAGCAAUGACAAAUUUUUUUUGUCUCCAAAGUAGUUUUCUGUUAAAGUAGCACAGUAUAACCCGCGAAAACUAACCACGAACAGGAUCUCUAAGAGGAAUACUUUCAUCUGCUGGUGGCACUUUCAUCCAUUCCAAAUUACUUCCUUGAUGAAUGUGGGCACUGACGGUGUUUUCCCCUCUAUGCAGUCUCCAGCCAGAUCCCGAAGAAAUUUUCUUACUUUGGACAAAAAUUUCAUGAAUUCCAUCUGCCCAUGGAUGAUUUCUACGCCACCGUCUUUUAAAUGGCUCAGAUCGAAACCAACACGAUUAAAGGUGCCGUAUUGAAUAGUAUCCUAAAACGCUCUUACGCUUUUAGUGAAAGUUUCCCUAUGGGUGACAGCAAUUGCUCUCACAUAAAUAAAACACCAGGACGAUUGACAGAAUGGGUGUUCCUAGAUUCCAGAUUAGAAGUUUUGGUCAACUAUUGGAGCAAAUGAAUCUGCCUUGCUUAGGAAAAAAUAAUUACUUUGAUGAUUUUCAAUAUAAUGAAAGCUGAAACCCACCCAAUGGAAAUGGUAAGGCUGCGACCAAUUUUAUAAAAUAUAGUUAGGCACCAUUCUAAACGGUAUUAGGUAGGGAAAUUAAUUAUCAAUGAAACAAACUAGGCUUCAAAUAUUUUAAA